rnacentral:sRNA from 1 species
UGCACUAACACUGCCCCGUAGCCGAUGC